UGGAUAAGGCAUGCAAGUCGCGCGAUCCCGCAAGGGAUAGCGGCAAACGGGUGCGUAACGCGUAGGUAACCUACCCUGAAGCGUGGGAUAACCCAACGAAAGAUGGGCUAAUACCACAUGUGCUUGCCGGACCGCAUGGUCUGGCAAGGAAAGGUGGCGACCCGCAAGGGGCUAUCGUUUUAGGAGGGACCUGCGUCCCAUCAGCUAGUUGGUAGGGUCAUGGCCUACCAAGGCAUUUGACGGGUAGCUAGCCUGAGAGGACGGUUAGCCACACUGGGACUGAGACACUGCCCAGACUCCUACGGGAGGCUGCAGUCGAGAAUCUUUGGCAAUGGGCGAAAGCCUGACCAUGCGACGCCGCGUGCGGGAUGAAGGCCUUCGGGUCGUAAACCGC
rnacentral:rRNA from 1 species